AACGAACGCUGGCGGCAUGCCUAACACAUGCAAGUCGAACGAUUGCCUUCGGGUGAUAGUGGCGCACGGGUGCGUAACGCGUGGGAAUCUGCCCUUAGGUUCGGAAUAACAGCUGGAAACGGCUGCUAAUACCGGAUGAUAUCGCGAGAUCAAAGAUUUAUCGCCUGAGGAUGAGCCCGCGUUUGAUUAGGUAGUUGGUGGGGUAAAGGCCUACCAAGCCGACGAUCCAUAGCUGGUCUGAGAGGAUGAUCAGCCACACUGGGACUGAGACACGGCCCAGACUCCUACGGGAGGCAGCAGUGGGGAAUAUUGGACAAUGGGCGCAAGCCUGAUCCAGCAAUGCCGCGUGAGUGAUGAAGGCCCUAGGGUUGUAAAGCUCUUUUAACCGGGAAGAUAAUGACGGUACCGGGAGAAUAAGCCCCGGCUAACUCCGUG
rnacentral:rRNA from 1 species